GAGUGAGUAAGUCCCUCUCGAAAAGGAUGAGGCCGCCAAUUAGCGGGUGGGACGAAGUAGAGAGGGGGUCGCUA
rnacentral:sRNA from 12 species